rnacentral:rRNA from 1 species
UGGCUUAGAAGCAGCCAUCAUUUAAAGAAAGCGUAAUAGCUCACUGGUCGAGUCGGCCUGCGCGGAAGAUGUAACGGGGCUAAACCAUGCACCGAAGCUGCGGCAGCGACACUUUAGUGUUGUUGGGUAGGGGAGCGUUCUGUAAGCCGUUGAAGGUGUCCUGUGAGGGGUGCUGGAGGUAUCAGAAGUGCGAAUGCUGACAUAAGUAACGAUAAAGCGGGUGAAAAGCCCGCUCGCCGGAAGACCAAGGGUUCCUGUCCAACGUUAAUCGGGGCAGGGUGAGUCGACCCCUAAGGCGAGGCCGAAAGGCGUAGUCGAUGGGAAACGGGUUAAUAUUCCCGUACUUGGUGUUACUGCGAAGGGGGGACGGAGAAGGCUAUGUUGGCCGGGCGACGGUAGUCCCGGUUUAAGCGUGUAGGCUGGUUUUCCAGGCAAAUCCGGAAAAUCAAGGCUGAGGCGUGAUGACGAGGCACCACGGUGCUGAAGCAACAAAUGCCCUGCUUCCAGGAAAAGCCUCUAAGCAUCAGGUAACAUCAAAUCGUACCCCAAACCGACACAGGUGGUCAGGUAGAGAAUACCAAGGCGCUUGAGAGAACUCGGGUGAAGGAACUAGGCAAAAUGGUGCCGUAACUUCGGGAGAAGGCACGCUGACACGUAGGUGAAGUGAUUUACUCAUGGAGCUGAAGUCAGUCGAAGAUACCAGCUGGCUGCAACUGUUUAUUAAAAACACAGCACUGUGCAAACACGAAAGUGGACGUAUACGGUGUGACGCCUGCCCGGUGCCGGAAGGUUAAUUGAUGGGGUCAGCGCAAGCGAAGCUCCUGAUCGAAGCCCCGGUAAACGGCGGCCGUAACUAUAACGGUCCUAAGGUAGCGAAAUUCCUUGUCGGGUAAGUUCCGACCUGCACGAAUGGCGUAAUGAUGGCCAGGCUGUCUCCACCCGAGACUCAGUGAAAUUGAACUCGCUGUGAAGAUGCAGUGUACCCGCGGCAAGACGGAAAGACCCCGUGAACCUUUACUAUAGCUUGACACUGAACAUUGAGCCUUGAUGUGUAGGAUAGGUGGGAGGCUUUGAAGCGUGGACGCCAGUCUGCGUGGAGCCGACCUUGAAAUACCACCCUUUAAUGUUUGAUGUUCUAACGUGGACCCGUAAUCCGGGUUGCGGACAGUGUCUGGUGGGUAGUUUGACUGGGGCGGUCUCCUCCUAAAGAGUAACGGAGGAGCACGAAGGUUGGCUAAUCCUGGUCGGACAUCAGGAGGUUAGUGCAAUGGCAUAAGCCAGCUUGACUGCGAGCGUGACGGCGCGAGCAGGUGCGAAAGCAGGUCAUAGUGAUCCGGUGGUUCUGAAUGGAAGGGCCAUCGCUCAACGGAUAAAAGGUACUCCGGGGAUAACAGGCUGAUACCGCCCAAGAGUUCAUAUCGACGGCGGUGUUUGGCACCUCGAUGUCGGCUCAUCACAUCCUGGGGCUGAAGUAGGUCCCAAGGGUAUGGCUGUUCGCCAUUUAAAGUGGUACGCGAGCUGGGUUUAGAACGUCGUGAGACAGUUCGGUCCCUAUCUGCCGUGGGCGCUGGAAGACUGAGGGGGGCUGCUCCUAGUACGAGAGGACCGGAGUGGACGCAUCACUGGUGUUCGGGUUGUCAUGCCAAUGGCACUGCCCGGUAGCUAAAUGCGGAAAAGAUAAGUGCUGAAAGCAUCUAAGCACGAAACUUGCCC